AGCAGCCGCGGUAAUUCCAGCUCCAAUAGCGUAUAUUAAAGUUGUUGCAGUUAAAAAGCUCGUAGUUGAAUUUCGGGGUCUGUCCGUCGGUCGGGCUUCACGGUCCGUACUGGUGUGAUGGGUUCCUACCUUCUGAAUAACCGGCAUGCCAUUCAGUUGGUGCGCCGGGGAAGCAGAGCUAUUACCUUGAAAAAAUUAGAGUGCUUAAAGCAGGCUAGUGCUUGAAUAGAUUAGCAUGGAAUAAUAAAAUAGGACGGCAUGGUUCUAUUUUGUUGGUUUCUAGGAUCACCGUAAUGAUUAAUAGGGAUAGUUGGGGGCAUUAGUAUUCAAUUGUCAGGGGUGAAAUUCUUGGAUUUAUUGAAGACUAACUUCUGCGAAAGCAUUUGCCAAGGAUGUUUUCAUUAAUCAAGAACGAAAGUUAGGGGAUCGAAGACGAUCAGAUACCGUCGUAGUCUUAACCAUAAACUAUGCCGACUAGGGAUCGGACGAUGUUAAUUUUUUGAAUGACUCGUUCGGCGCC
rnacentral:misc_RNA from 2 species